UAAAAACAGAAUACAAUGAUUUGCAAAUCAUGUUCAACCUAUAUUUCAUUGAAUACACUACAAAGACAAGGUAUUUAAUGUUCAAACUGAUAAACUUCAUUGUUUUUAGCAAAUAAUCCUGAACUUAGAAUUUUAUGGCUGCAACACGUUCCAAAAAAAGCUGGGACAGGGUCACGUUUACCACUGUGUUACAUCACCUUUUCUUUUACCAACAUUCAAUAAACGUUUGGGAACUGAGGACACUAAUUGUUGAAGUUUUGACGGUGGAAUUCUUUCCCACACUUACGGAUGUAGCGCCGAACUGUAUUUACUGACAUUGGUUUUCUGAAGUGUUCCUGAGCCCGUGUGGUGAUAUCAUUUACACAUUGAAGUCAGUUUUUGAUGCAGUGCCGCCUGAGGGAUCGAAGGUCACGGGCAUUCAAUGUUGGUUUUCGGCCUUGCCGCUUACAUGCAGUGAUUUCUCCAGAUUCUCUGAACCUAACAAUAAAGUUGAUCAGUUUGAACAGUGUCUUUGUAGUGUAUUCAAUGAAAUAUAGCUUGAACAUGAUUUGCAAAUCAUUGUAUUCUGUUUUUAUUUAUGUUUAACACGACGUCCCAACUUCAUUGGAUUUGGGGUUGUAUUACAAAACGUAUAUGUCGUGAUCCAUGCCCUGCAGUUCCUCUUUUGGAGCUUGGAUGGCGCCGUGUGCCUCGUCUCUCCCUCUCCCCCUCUGUCUCCCUAGCAAUCAUCAGCACCUGUGCAGCGCACCUGUCUUCAAGCAGCACUGAUUACUGCCUGCAUUUAAAGCCUGUCAAGUUCUACAGUCUUCGCCUGAGUAUUAAUUUGUUCCUCCCAUGCCUUCCUCGCCUUGCUGCCUGCUCCAGCCGCGCCGCCAAGCUUCAUCACCUGCUCAUGUUCCCGUUUCCCGCUCACUCCUUCUCCUGCCGGUCCUCCACCCUACCUCGGAUAUUCUUACCCUGUGUCAACCUGAAAUAAACUAUUUAAAAUCUACUCCCUCCGCCUCAGUCUGCUCUUGGGUCCAUCGUGACAGUAUAUGCAGAGAAACGGUGGAAAAUGCAGUUGUUGAAGGAGGCAUCCUUCGCCACAGCUGCCCCUCACGUUGUCCAGCUGCCUUGUGUCAACCGUCGAGACCUUCAAGUUCCUGGGAAUUACAAUCUCCCAGGACCUGAAGUGGGCGACCAACAUCAACUCCGUCCUCAAAAAUGCCCAGCAGAGGAUGUACUUCCUGCGGCUUCUGAGAAAGCACGGC